GGUACAGCAGAGGAGAUUUCUUGUAAAUAGUCAAUUAACCAGGGAGCUCGGGCUUUCUGGUUAAUUGUGGUUUUACUACUCCUUGGUAUUUGAUAACUCUCUUACCAGUUUGGUUCAGUUACAGCAUUUAUAUUUGAAUCCGUUGAGCAGGAACAUUUGAAAACCACCAGUUAAGCCAGGCAGUGAUAGAGCACACCUUUAAUCCCAGCACUCGGGAGGCAGAGGCAGGCGGAUCUCUGUGAGUUUGAGGCCAACCUGGGCUACAAGAGCUCGUUCCAGGACAGGCUCCAAAGCUACAGAGAAACCCUGUCUCAACCCCUCCCCCCCCAAAAAAAAAGAAGAAAAGAAAACCACCAGUUAUUUCUAAAAGCCGUAACUUAAUUUUUUCUUGUUUGUUUUCAUCAGCUGAUUUGAGUAAGAAAAUGUUUGCAUCUUAAUGUACAGAAUGGAACCACAGUGAAUAAUCUUUUCUGUACGCCACUGUCACCUUUCACCAUUUGGGAUCUGCAUCCUGAGAAGGUUUUGUUCUCACUGUGGACUGGUCUGGAAGAGUAUGUUUCAGUCGGGCCAUGUCAGGAACGACACUCAUCUGUGGCUUUGUCAAGGCUCCUUGGGGGCCAGGGACUUGUGGCUUGAGACUUUACCUCCAUGGCACAGACUCGGCCUGUGGUUCAGAGCUUCAAGGUAGAGUACCCGGAGGUGUUGCUGUCAUGCAUGGCUUCUGCUGAGGGCAAAGCAAGGGCCUUUUCUGACUUUGGAUUGGAGGUAAUCAUACUGUAACCCCUGUGGCAUGGUGCUUUUGCUUCACUGAUCUCUGCCUAGAGCUCUAAAAGUCAUAAUCUUAACUCAAUUGUUGGUGCUAUAUGUGUGUUCUGGCAUCCAGAAAUUGGGUAAAAAGCUGCACAGAUACUUAGAAAAUGACAGAGGGACCUUGGGGACCUGCCAGACUGCUGUCCUCACUAGACAAUGUUCUUGUGUGGGAUAGAGACCUUUCAGGUGAGGAGGAAGUGGCAAGAUAGCAAAAAGGCUAUAUAUGUGUGCCCCCAACAAACAGAAGGAGAACCCUGGGGCUUGAAGAAAAUCUAGAAGGAUCUCACAUCACCAACUUUAAAAAAACUAUAUAUGUGUAUGUAUACACAUACACACAUAUGUGUGUAUGUAAUUUGUGUGUGUCCAUGCUACAGUGUAUAUGGAAGUCAGAGAACAACUUGUGGGAAUGGGUUCUAGAUUCUACCACAUGGGUCCCAGUGAUUAAACUCAGUACAAGUGCCUUUACCUGCCAAGCCAUCUCAGCACCCCACUCACUAACUUCUGACAUUGAGGAGUGCCAAGCCCCUUCUUCCAGACCGUGGCUAUGGACAAAGCAU